UGAGUAGCCUCGCGCCACCGUCCGACCCCCCGACCCGACGGCGGCGCGGGGCUGCCUA
rnacentral:sRNA from 14 species